AGGAUGCUAUUAAACCUAUCUGACGUAUAACGGUAUUAAACAGAUGAGUUAUGAUAGAAAAUAUUCUUUUUUUAACAAAUUCUACUUUAUGUUUCAGAUAUUUUUGCUGCCUACUGCGAAUAUAAUUUUUUAUUAAUUAAGGUGAAAUAAGACCUAAUGGCCGAUUUUACCUCUUAUUGUUAAAGUUUAUUCGUAAUUUGUGUGCAGAAUAAACUUUAUCUAUAACUCUGAAGGCGCUACGUCACACACUAUGUAGGCGCUUAAUGUGUCAUGGCCGACUACAUUAUUUCGAGCUAUUUAUUGUAAUAAAUACAAUUGUAAUCCUG